GCGCCUCUCACUUCAUCUAUGCCUACGACCUUAAUUUCUCUGGAUUUGAAGGGGUUUUGGAGGCCGGAUUUUGCUAAAAUUUAGAUGUGGAGAGAGCUGGAGAGUUUCAGGUUUCGUUGAUUUACGUUUAAUUUGCAGUGCCAAUUGAUUCGCUAUGGAUUCCGUAUCAAGUCGCGAUGAUUCUUGGGAAGAUCUUUGCAGUCUCGGCAUUUUCUAUAAUGCUCCAUGUAAUGAACACAAAGCCAAGCUUAUGCUGAAGCCAUUACAUCCGAACGAGCAUUGGAAAUUAUCUUCGAGCCAAUUCGACAAGACACACAUCUUCAGGUGAUUCGGGAGCAGAUGUAUCUCUAUCUUUGAUUUUUGAAUCGAAUAGUGACUGGGUUGUAGGCACCGGUGAAUUGUUGUUUAACUCGAACUCAUGAAGGCUGGAAGGACACACAGUGAUGAAUCGACCCACCGCUAUUAGGUAUUGUAUGCUUUGGUCUGUUUUGUAUCGUCGUUAGUUUCACGGUUUCAAAACGAGUCUGUUAGGGAGCAAUUUCCACACUCUUAUAAAGAAUGUUUCAUUUCCUUCUUCAACCGAUGUGAGAUCUAUGUGAGAUGAUUAACUCGCAGAUCACCUCUUUUUAAACUUAGA